UGCUUUAUUCUUCAAUCAGAUUCGGAUUUGUGGCCCGCUUCCCAGAUCCUUCACCCACCGUCUUUCUUAUUGCACAUCUUCCCCACCGCCUUCGUGUUCGAACAGUCCAAUUUCCAGCUGAUUUUAUCCCCACACCAAUCGAUCCUUCCAGUUUCUUCCUUCCACCGCUUCUUAUCCAAACCUUCGGUUCUAUUUCGUCUUUCCUCCGCUAUAGAUCAUCGCCACCACCAUCCAAUCCAUCACGUCCACUUUAUCCACAGGUAUCGGUCCACCAUUAGCGUCUUUUACACCCGUUGAUUGUGUACACCCAUCGUCUUCUCAUUUUAUGGAUCAAGCUUUGGCCGCCGCCCACCAGGUAUUUGAUUAAAUGCGUGCAUGGCUUAUUCUAUUUUGUUAUCAUCAUGUUGUGAUAUAGAACCGAUGCUCUCUCUGGAUAAAGAGGUCGUCGUCCCUUCUCCAUCUCCGCCAUGAUCGAGAAGAAGAUGUUUGUGAUUUCUUACAUCCACCGCCAUCUCUAACUUCCGUUGAAUCCAGGUUCCAAUCUUGUCCUCUCUGCUUGUCGCUUUUCUCAUGAUCUCGAAAAAAAAAAAAAAACUCUACUUUAGCCUCCAUGAAUGAUGCGCACGUUGCAGUUUCAAAGCUUCCUGAUGUUUAGUUUAGGUUUGGGUCCCGAAGGCGUUACGCUUCAGUUCCGUCAUCUUCAAAGAUGUUCCCCAUAUCACCACCGUUCAUGGCUAUAAUCGCUACCAGACCCGAAGCCCUUCCGCUCCAGUUUGGAUCUACCUCAGGUCAUCGCCAUAGAACAAACCACCAGGGUUGAAAGCUGUGAGGCAGUGGAGACGAUGAAGCAAGUGGCACUCAGGGUCCCAAGAAAGCUAUAACUUCUCUUAUCUUAUCAGAUGAAUUGAGUUCUAUUAAUUUUUAAUUUGGCAUUUGAUGCUGCUCAACAAACUUUCUAGAGUGGAGGAAGAAGAGGGCUUCACUAUAAUCUAUAUUUCAUAGCAUAUCCAUAUCCAAAAGGCCAACAAGAACCAACAAAGAUAAACACAGAAGACUCAUCGAUUUCAGCAAAAAACAAGAACCAACGAAGAUAAACACAAAUGACUCAUCGAUUUCAGCAAAAAACGAUCUCCUGUUAAACAGACAAAUAAAUGGAAGUUGAAACUAGCUUUUGAUGCACACCAACUGCUCGAUAAAAUGCUUGAAGCAAAUCUUAUUAUUAUUUGUUUUUAAAACCCCAUAAAAAAUUCCACACUUGCUGCUUUGUUGUUGUAUUUCUCUCAGUAGCUAACGUUCCAUCCCAUUUCCUAUAUAUACAAAUGAUUUCAUGCUGUUGAACAACUUCUUGCUGAAAUGCCCGAAUCUAACUUUCAUCUUAGAGUCAUUUCAAGUUCCCCUGAUCUGGAAAGUUUUCAGGAAAGUGAAUCCAUUUUUUUUUACCAUGAUUGUUUAUAUUUAUAAUGGAAAGUAACUACUUAUUUUGUUUAGCAAGUUAAACCCACAGCUUUUUUGUUCCCAGAGUAGAUUACAAUGUUGGAUAAUGAGCUGGAAGAAGAGAAGAAAAAUCAUAAGGAGACCAAGGAAAAGUGCAAAGAUAUUCUACAAGAAUUGCAAAGAUGUCUUUUCGUCCACGGGUCUCCUUGAAAAGAUGCGACACCCAUAGAGUGGAAAACCAUCAUUUAGAAUGUUGGGAUUGAAAGGGAAAAAGGAGACAAAAUCUUUACAACCAUUGGAUACAAAUUCAAAAAGGCGAGCUUUUGGGACGGAUAUAACAAAUAAUGUUAAUGAUUCAGAUUCAAAAACAGACCAGGGCUUAUGGAUGCUGCAACUCCAGAUGCUCUUGAAGCAUGAAAGCCGGUUAUUGGGUUCAAUAUUGCUCAAGAAGUAGGAGAAUGGACCACUACCAAUUUUUAUCCAUAUCUUCCUUCUCAUGCUUACCUUACAUGCAGGUUUUUUUUUUCUACAAGAAAUCAUGGGUUAGUAGAUGCAACCGUUAGAAGUAGUAAAGAACAAACAACAGAAAAAAAAAAUGUCAGCAUCCGACCCCCGCAACGCGGGGGUUCACCAUCUAGUUAUUAUUAAAGAACAUGUAUAUACCAGCAUAUGAUUUGUUUCGGAAUCUAUAAAUUUUACAAUUUCAAAAGAAUCUCCGUCAUUUAACA